CACGUAGGGCGCAAGCGUUGUCCGGAAUUAUUGGGCGUAAAGAGCUCGUAGGCGGUCUGUCGCGUCUGCUGUGAAAACUCAGGGCUUAACCCUGAGCUUGCAGUGGGUACGGGCAGACUAGAGUGCGGUAGGGGAGACUGGAAUUCCUGGUGUAGCGGUGAAAUGCGCAGAUAUCAGGAGGAGCACCGGUGGCGAAGGCGGGUCUCUGGGCCGUAACUGACGCUGAGGAGCGAAAGCAUGGGGAGCGAACAGG
rnacentral:rRNA from 1 species